UAGGGAAUCUUCCACAAUGGACGCAAGUCUGAUGGAGCAACGUCGCGUGAGUGAAGAAGGUUUUCGGAUCGUAAAGCUCUGUUGUUGGUGAAGAAGGAUAGAGGUAGUAACUGGCCUUUAUUUGACGGUAAUCAACCAGAAAGUCACGGCUAACUACGUGCCAGCAGCCGCGGUAAUACGUAGGUGGCAAGCGUUGUCCGGAUUUAUUGGGCGUAAAGCGAGCGCAGGCGGAAGAAUAAGUCUGAUGUGAAAGCCCUCGGCUUAGCCGAGGAACUGCAUCGGAAACUGUUUUUCUUGAGUGCAGAAGAGGAGAGUGGAAUUCCAUGUGUAGCGGUGGAAUGCGUAGAUAUAUGGAAGAACACCAGUGGCGAAGGCGACUCUCUGGUCUGCAACUGACGCUGAGGCUCGAAAGCAUGGGUAGCGAACAGG
rnacentral:rRNA from 1 species